UCGUGAAAAGGGAAACAACCCUAACCAUCAUCUAAGGCCCCCAAGUAACGGCUAAGUGGGAAACGAUGUGGGAUUGCUUUGACAACCAGGAUGUUGGCUUAGAAGCAGCCAUCAUUUAAAGAAAGCGUAACAGCUCACUGGUCAAGUGAUCCCGCGCGGAAAAUUCAACGGGGCUCAAGCGUUGUACCGAAGUUGCGAAAUCGACGCCCAGUUUACUGGCCGUCGAUUGGUAGGGGAGCGUUCCGCUCGCAGUGAAGGCAAACCGGAAGGAUUGCUGGAGCGUGCGGAAGUGCGAAUGUCGGCAUGAGUAGCGAAAUGUGAGUGGGAAUCUCACACACCGUAUGGCCAAGGUUUCCUGAGCAAGGCUCGUCCUCUCAGGGUUAGUCGGUCCUAAGUCGAGGGCGAACGCCGUAGACGAUGGACAUCUGGUUGAUAUUCCAGAACCACCAAAGACCGUUUGCACCGCAAGGUGUCGUCGAGCCGAGGCGGAGGGUGGCUCUCUGACGCAAGUCAGGGGGUACUCCGAGCCGGAGUUCGAUGGGAGCAAGGGCAUGACGGGGUCUGGUAGUUCGAGCGUGCUACGGAAUGCACGUCCAAGCUCGUAGGGGGUGGGACUAGGUAAAUCCGGUCCCGCAUUCAACUCUGAAAAGUUAUGGGGAGGGGCGUAAGCCUUGACUCGAGCAAGCCAAGCCUCCAAGAAAAGUGUCUAGCGAGGUAGUAGGUGACCGUACCGCAAACCGACACAGGUGGCCGGGUAGAGAAUACCAAGGUGAUCGGGAGAACCCUCGUUAAGGAACUCGGCAAAAUAACCCCGUAACUUCGGGAGAAGGGGUGCUCACAGGUGCAGCUUGCUGUGCUUGUGAGCCGCAGUGAAAUGGCCCAGGCGACUGUUUAACAAAAACACAGCACUCUGCUAAGUCGUCUAAGACGAUGUAUAGGGUGUGAAGCCUGCCCAAUGCCAAAAGGUCAAAAGGAGGUGUCAGCCGCAAGGCGAAGCACUGAAUUUAAGCCCUGGUGAAUGGCGGCCGUAACUAUAACGGUCCUAAGGUAGCGAAAUUCCUUGUCGGGUAAGUUCCGACC
rnacentral:rRNA from 1 species